GAAGAGUAUUGGUAUGGAGCUGGAGGCCUUGAACCUGGAAUAGUCUCACAGGUAACGUCAUAGUGAUAACUCUGCCUGGAGAGGUUUUGUGUAACAAGGUUCUCCCUGGAAGGAUCCUGUUCAAGGUAUGAACAGCUUCCUUUGUAUCUACGAUGAAAAAAAAACUGCAGUGGGGGAAAUCAAGUUGGCGCUGGAACUUUGCUGGUAGAUGAUGAAGAAACGAUACCAUGUAUACAUAUUUCACUGGCUGCUAAAAAGCAAGAGCCCGUGCCAGCACAAGGCUGGCUAAAUCUAACUACCAUAUAGAAAACAAUACAUCUGUGACGAAUCAUGAAGAACUUGCAUGGCAUAAAGUUAGAAAAUAAGAUUGGAUGGAGUUCACCUUGGCCUGAUAUUCAGAUGAAUGGGAAGCCUUAAGAUGUUGGACGUUGGAGCUCCAAUAUUAAGUUCAGUGCCUGCUUGAAUGGACAAUUCCAGUCACGAGAUUGGUGUUGAUGUACAUUGAGAAAACUAUCAAAUAUAAGAAAAUAUUUUGUUCUACUUUGGAAGUAGAACAUGGUAUCUUUGACUUACUGGAAGGAGAUUUUUGUACCCCAGUAUUUUGGGAAUAUGAAUGGUUCCUAUUUAUGAAAGUAAAACAUUUUACAGCGAGGCUACAAGUAACCUUUUGUCAAGUUGUCAUCAAAUCUAAUCUUAAAAGGUAAUAUUCAAUUUACUUAAAUUUCAUAAUUUCUUUCGAGUCCAUGUGCUCUAUUGUUAUUUUAUCAGUGAAAAAGUUUUAUCCAAAUUGUUUUUUAAAGAUUUCCCCAAUUAAAAGUAAUGAGAUCUUUGUAAUAGACAACCUGAAAUGUUCAUCCACUUCUAAUAAGUUUGGGUGCAAUGUCUUGUAAUAAUUGUUUUUUUUUUUUACUUAAAGCCUCAUCCCUAAAUCUCUCUCAUCAAUGUACAAGCAUUGGCAUUAAUGAAACUUUUAUUAAUGUAAUUAUUAUAAGUAUAUAGCUUCUAUUGAUUACUAUUUCAUUAGUACAGUAUUACAGGACGUUUCUAUAAUUUCAGUUGCAAUCCAGUUUGAUUCAUUUUUUUUGUAUUGACACUUUCGUCCGUAAAUUUGUCAAAUUGCUUAUUACUAAAGUGAUGACAUAAUAGCUUAUUGGAAUUGUAUUUAAAUUGAGUUAAAGCAUUGAUUAUUUGCUGAGGUUUGAGUUUUUAAAUGAUAUAGGUAGUAUACACAAUGAUGUCGACAGAGCCCUUUGACUCUGGAAAUCAUUGUUGUUGAUAAGCAAGCAUAUACUGCCUUUAGGAUAUGCUAACAUGUUAGGAACUGAACAUGAUAAUAUACCAAGACUAUUAUGCAGUUCUGAUAUUCAAUCAAGGAAUUUCUGUCACAGUAGAUUUUUAGUUUUGCAUCUUGAAAUGAUGCAAGUCAUUCGUCUGAUUCAGCUUCUUAAUCUUUUUGAAGUGUUCAAAGUUCACUCAUUUUGAAUUUGACAAUCCAAAUAUGAAUUUCAGGUAUCGUCUUUAACUUAAGAAUAUCUUCGUUUUUUCAUACCAAUGUGUUUGAAGGGAAAUAAUUAGCAAUAUAAAGACAGUAAAGUUCUCUUAUAACGUACAGGCUUAUAACGAAUGAAAGUGAAAUCCCCGGUACCAAUUCAAAUAAAUGGACUUAAAAUUGUAGGUGCGUAACGAAUUAUUUAUAACGAAAUCGGGUAUAUAACGAAAUAUUUUGUACGUCCCGGUGACAGACUUAUUAGAACAAAAAUAUAUGUAACGAAGUGAUAUUUUCAUUGUUAAAACAUCAAACACCUGAUAUCACAAGGAAGCAGAAGAAUUAGUAUGCCGUGUUAAUUUUCCAUUUAAAGGUUUAUGAAAAUACUACAAACAUAACUUCUUAAACUAACAUUGACUUUUAUGGAAAUAUAUUAGAAGCCUUGAUACACUUAAGAGAAUCGUUACUUUAUCGUCUGGAUUUCAUUCCGUAUCAAAACAAAGGUGUGGUCAUCCGAUCAUUUUAAGUAUCCCAGUUUAUAACGAAUGAUGCAUAUAACGAAUUCAGUCGACAAUCCCUUGGAAUUCGGUAUAAACGAACUUUACUGUAUGAAAAUCUGAAAUACUUCUGUGAAGGACUGUUGUGGCCUUAAACAUUUUAGAGAUAAGUAGCAAGAAAUUGCUGUGUAGAUUAAAUGCCCGUUGCCAAAUUUUUUGUUGUAAUUGGGGAGGUUAAGUAUCUCGUUGUUUGUCACACGUGAAAAAGAACUGCUGCAGUUUAGUUUUUCAAGGUAUGUGAAUUUCUGGUAGCCUUGCAAUUUUCUUCUCUUUUAGGGAGGUCAACCUUACACAGAUAGUUUACUUUGCUGUGAUAUUCUUACGAGCGUUUUAGUUUCUUUCUUCAUGUUGGGCUUAUUAUAAUGGGUAAUAACGUAAUUAUCAUGUUUUAUUUUGAAUUUCAUAUUUGAGAUUCUGUGAAGAAGAGCAUUAACUGAUCCCCUGGUAUGUUCUGAUCUUUAUAAAAGUAAUAUUAUGCAAUGGAGUACGGGUCCCUGUUAUUGAUUAAAGAAAAUAACUUAAUAUCUCACCCCUCUUCUAAGAUACUUUGUGACGUUGGUGCUUGAAGAUGCUUUUAGAAUACAGAUGACUGAAUAUCUCUCUCUCUCUCUCUCUCUCUCUCUCUCUCUCUCCUCUCUCUCUCUCUCUCUCUCUCUCUCUCACUUUUUUCUCUGAAGAGAAGUUACUGCAAAGUAAAUUAGAGUGUUGAGUAUAGAUGAGGUUAUACGGUUAAGUGAAUGAAAGUUUGGGUAUAAAAUACUGGUGAAAGUGUUAACCUUUUUGCAGAAUAAAAGUGGGAGAUGAUUUUAUUUUAAGAAUUCUGAAAGGUUUAGGAAUACAUGAUUACCAAGCGCAAAGCUUUAAAUUUAGACUUAACCAUGGACGUUGAAACUUGAGGCGGUUAAUUGGUACUAACAGGGAAAUUUUGACUGAUAAAAUGAAAAAAUUUUAGGAGACUUUAGCAGCUGGUCACUACAGAAUCAGGUUAAGAAAGAUAGAAUUUCCUUUGGGAUAUUUUGUGACUGAGGAUAAAACCGUGUAGAACGUGUUGCCUGUUUUUGCUAGUGAAGGGUCAAGAUCUUUAGAUUUGCGGGGGUGGGGGUGGGGGUGAGGCGACGAGACUUCUCUGAAACAUGGAGAUAGUAAUGUAUAUGAUAAAUUUUAGUGAAUGUUUGAAAUAACCGAGACAGAACGCGGUUUUAUAAUAUACUGAACGUGAUUUUUUUUCAGUCUUACAUUUCCUGAUGGUUUUCACCAAACUAUUUUGGUACGUGUAAUGUGAGUGUGUGUGUUUGUUUGUUUUGUAGGGCUACUCGAGCAUACCUUGAACAAUGAAAUGUUAAAUGUAAUAAGCAUGAACUCAAGAACUGAGUUUUCUUAAGUUAUCAAUUGAAUUAGAUUUGCAAUCUUAAGUUAUCAAUUGAAUUAAAUCUGCAAUCUUAAGUUAUCAAUUGAAUUAAAUCUGCAAUCUUGAAUUAUCAAUUGAAUUAAUUUUUGCUAU